AGAGUUUGAUCCUGGCUCAGGAUGAACGCUGGCGGCGUGCCUAAUACAUGCAAGUCGAGCGAACAGAUAAGGAGCUUGCUCCUUUGAAGUUAGCGGCGGACGGGUGAGUAACACGUGGGUAACCUACCUAUAAGACUGGGAUAACUUCGGGAAACCGGAGCUAAUACCGGAUAACAUUUAGAACCGCAUGGUUCUAAAGUGAAAGAUGGUUUUGCUAUCACUUAUAGAUGGACCCGCGCCGUAUUAGCUAGUUGGUAAGGUAACGGCUUACCAAGGCGACGAUACGUAGCCGACCUGAGAGGGUGAUCGGCCACACUGGAACUGAGACACGGUCCAGACUCCUACGGGAGGCAGCAGUAGGGAAUCUUCCGCAAUGGGGCGAAAGCCUGACGGAGCAACGCCGCGUGAGUGAUGAAGGGUUUCGGCUCGUAAAACUCUGUUAUUAGGGAAGAACAAAUGUGUAAGUAACUGUGCACAUCUUGACGGUACCUAAUCAGAAAGCCACGGCUAACUACGUG
rnacentral:rRNA from 1 species